AUGGAAGGCUCUCCCAGGAUUGUUUGUGAAGAGCAUGGCUGGUCCACACUUCCUGUCUGCAUUAAGGAAAGUUAUCGAACGACAAAAAAAGUCACAGCCACCACAGCCAGCACAAGCACAAGCACAGGCUCCAGCAGCACAACACUUGGCUUAAUAGAAAUGAUGCCUGGUCCACCUCCAAAUUCUCCAGAUUCUCCAGAUCUUGGAUAUACUCUAGCAGUUCUUGGAUGUAUAUUCUUUGCUUUAGUAGUGUGUUUCUGUAUCGUGGCUAUUGUACGUCACCACGUAAAACGGAAAGGAUCGUAUGACACUGGAGAAGCCCUGAAGACAAAAGAAGAGUUAUUGCUAAAAACACCUUCAAAUCUAACGCCUAUAUAAGGCUGUAUAACCGGACUGCCCCUACUGCCUGAUCUGCUUCAGUUUUUCCUUGGAACUUUAUGAACUCUUUGAUGAAGCAGUGACAUUUUACAUCCUUAAAACGACCAAAAUGACAACCAUAAGCGUUGGUUUGCACAUUUAUAGUAAUUUAUUUUCGUAUGUCUGUGUUUUAUACAUACUUUUUUAUCCAGUGGAAUAAAAAUGUGUUAUUUUUUCCA
rnacentral:lncRNA from 1 species